GAUGAACGCUGGCGGCGUGCCUAAUACAUGCAAGUCGAGCGAACGGACGAGAAGCUUGCUUCUCUGAUGUUAGCGGCGGACGAGUGAGUAACACGUGGAUAACCUACCUAUAAGACUGGGAUAACUUCGGGAAACCGUAGCUAAUACCGGAUAAUAUUUUGAACCGCAUGGUUCAAAAGUGAAAGACGGUCUUGCUGUCACUUAUAGAUGGAUCCGCGCUGCAUUAGCUAGUUGGCAAGGUAACGGCUUACCAAGGCAACGAUGCAUAGCCGACCUGAGAGGGUGAUCGGCCACACUGGAACUGAGACACGGUCCAGACUCCUACGGGAGGCAGCAGUAGGGAAUCUUCCGCAAUGGGCGAAAGCCUGACGGAGCAACGCCGCGUGAGUGAUGAAGGUCUUCGGAUCGUAAAACUCUGUUAUUAGGGAAGAACAUAUGUGUAAGUAACUGUGCACAUCUUGACGGUACCUAAUCAGAAAGCCACGGCUAACUACGUG
rnacentral:rRNA from 1 species